UGUGUGUGUGUGUGUGUGUGUGUGUAUAUAUAAAAAGUGAGAUCUGUGAGAGCAUCAACAACUUGGCACAAUUUGGACGCCGAGUGACUUCAUCACCGCUCGUUUGCUGGCGUUUGUUGGUUGUAACAUGCAUUGUCGACGGCAAGCAUGGUGAAAAUAUGAUCGAUCGCCCGCACAGCCAUUCUUGUCAUCAUCUCCUUCCCUAGCAAAAAUCAGCGUGCGCACGACAACGACAACAACGACACAGCCAUCGGCGCGCCUCUCUUUCAUUUUAAAUAUAACAGUGUAUAAAUAAGUAUGAGCAAUAGCGGGAGUGCGCGGCGAGACUGCUCGCGUUGCCACCAUCGUUAAUUUUUCUCUCGUCUCCGCGCGCGCUCGCGAAUAUGCGAUUGUUUAUCCACGCGUUUUGCACGCCAGAGAUAGAUUGAAAGAAUACAAGUGAAUGAGAGCAAGAAUAUAAACGAAUAGUACGUGCCGUCUCGUUGUAUGCGUUUGGAAAAUUGUUAUUUUUUUCAUUCUUAUUGCAAUCUACGAUGAUCUUUGUGCAUGGGCAUGCAACACUGAAUACAAUCAAGAAAAACUUGAAAGUUCCAAUUAAGAAGAACAUAUAUACGUUCGUAUUUCUGGAAGCACAGUUUUAAAUAAUGACUAAUAUUUAUCAUCAGAUAUUAAUCGAAUAUAAUCUCAACAAUCAUCAGUAUUUCCAGUAUACAAGACAUCUACGUGAUGCUGUUGCUUCCAAGUUGCUUGCAGCUGCGCAACAAGCUGCAGCAUUAUGCUGAAGACUCUUCUGAAUAUAUUGAUGCCUGUAUAAUGUUAGAAGAAUUCUGCCUAUUUGCCACAGAAUUGGCACGUCUGUGCGAGCGAGGGUAACAAAAAAAAAACUUUAAAGUAUAUUGACAGGCAAAAAUAUUGAGCAUUUGAUUAUAAUGGGGGAUGUUUAAAAACAAUGAAACGCAAUGUGAUGUCUAUUGUUACAAAAUUAUUUGAUAUUUGGAAGUACGUUCAAUUACAAAACAAUAAUCUGCUAGCAUCUAGUAUAUCCUAUUACCACACUCUAAUAAAAUUUUAUUUACCAAUAAUAUAAUUGUAUUGAUAUUUCUUUUCUGUUGUACAGGUUAAUGUAACUUAAUGAUCUAGAAUAACUGUUAUUUUUUAUUGAAAUAAAAAAUUGUGCAAUA
rnacentral:lncRNA from 1 species